rnacentral:rRNA from 1 species
AUUGAACGCUGGCGGCAUGCCUAACACAUGCAAGUCGAACGGCAGCACAGCAGUAGCAAUACUGUGGGUGGCGAGUGGCGGACGGGUGAGUAAUGCAUCGGGAUCUACCUCAACGUGGGGGAUAACGUAGGGAAACUUACGCUAAUACCGCAUACGUCCUAAGGGAGAAAGCGGGGGACCGCAAGGCCUCGCGCGGUGAG